CUUAAACAAGUUAUAUUUAAUGAUGUUGAGACACUGCGACAGACAUCACCUACUAGCGGUCCUUAUAAUCUAAGAAAACGCAAUACUAGCACAGAAAUAAUUGACAUAGAAAGCAGAUGUUGUAUAGGUAUUGAAGGAAAACCGCCAGCAUUAUCAAAAAAACCUAGGUAUUGAUCAUAAAUUUUACUUUUAAACAAACGUGGACUUUGCCUUGUGUGUGUGAGCAGAAUUUGAAUUUUUGUGUUAAACAAAUUAAAUAUCUUGUAAAAUUUUAACGUGUAUAAAAUUUUGCUUAUAUACAACUAUUGUAAAAUUUGUAUUGAAUUGAAUUAUAUAAAACGAAACUUAAUUAUAUUCUGUUUCAUUCCAACUAUUGAAGUGCUAACUUUAUAUAUUUUUUGUACAGUGUGUAAAAUAAGUACUUAACACUUGUAUAUUUUAAACUUUGGAAUAAAUAUCUUGUUAUAUAAUAUGCUAUAUUUACAUUAUGUAAUAUAAUAUGCAUGUUACUGUGUGUUCUAUUGCCAGCGAAAACCAGAAAUUCUCGAAAUUGGUUAACCCAACGUUUCUCAACCUGUUGUUCACAAACAUAUUGAAAUUAAUAAAGAUUAAAAC